UUAUGCAUAAGCGUUGGCCCACGGACCGAAGGGCCUCGGGUUCAAUUCCAGGUCAAGGGCAUGUACCUGAGUCGGGCGCGUGCAGGAGACAACCAAUCGCUGUGUCUCUCACAUCAAAGUUUCUCUCCCCUCCUCCCUCCUUCCACUCUCUCUAGAAAUCAGUGGAAAAAAUAUCCUCGGGUGAGGAUUAAAAUAAAUCAACUGGAAGGUUUACCCUUUGUUUUUUAAGCCGAUAAACGGCCACAGGAGGCCUGGGUCCUGGGUGAGAAGCAGGACGACAGAACCUUUGCCCCCACUCAGUUCAGGUGGCGACUACGAUGCUGCUGCUCCGACUCCCACGUCCACACGCAGCUUCAGCUCCCACUCGACACGGAGGCACGGCCGCCACUCAAGGUGUCAGUUAGCCCGAAGCCUCCAUCUCCUGGCUGCGUGGGUGGGCAGCUCUGACUCUAGGACAGAAAGCAAUUCCGUUGAAAAGUGAAAAAUGCCCCGUACUUGGGUGAACGCCAGAUGGACCGAGACGGUGGGUUGGGAAGAUCCGGGAUUUUCUCAGCCGGCCUCGGUUCUGUUUCCCACGAAGCCCUCAGACCGGGUGGGCGGGAGACGCCACUGCCGGCACCG